rnacentral:misc_RNA from 1 species
CGCAAUUCUCAGCCUUCAAUUCAAGGGAACUUUAUUUGAAAUCAAGGAUGAGAGCGUACCUAACCACAACCAUCCAUACAAGCAGGAAUUAAAAAGAUUUAAAAAAAAAAAUCAGUGAAUUACCAAAACAGGAGUUUCUAAUUCAUUCCAGAUACAGAUCAUACAUUUCAAAGCCCACACCUCAGAAACAAAAAAGCAUCCUACAAAAUCAGCUCAGAGGUGAUUGCCCGUCGAAACAAUGCUUCAUAGUUGUGGGAAUAUGGAGUCCACAAAAGCAUGGUGCAUUGGGUCCAACAGCCAGCUUUUAGCUACAUGCUGGUGAGAUGAGGUACGCCUGUGAAUUUCUUCAACCAGCCAAAUGGUGGCUUCAGCCUUACAAGGAUGAAUUGUGAUAUCCAAGGGCUUUUGUUCAUCCUCACUGCCAAUUCUCAGAUGAUCCCACUGCUUUAGAAGAAUGUUAGUGAGGUAAUGCAAGGGUUGCCCAUAUAAUUGCUUAAUUGAUUUGCCUAAUCCCACCCAUGAUGAAAAUGGAAUGACAGAGCCAUGACGUGCUGGCAUAGGGAGCUGCCUCAUAUAUUCUUGAUACAUUUCCGCUCUUUUGAUCAGUACAUCUAGAAUGUAAAGCACAUUAUGUUGUGAGAUAAAAAAAAGUAUAAAGAAAUAUUUGGGCUCAAACAGAGAAGAUGAUUUUCCCAUUCCUUCACUGAGAAGAUGAUGAAAUUAGGUGCUUAACUCAGACAGAGAGUAUAAAAUCACAAAAUUUUCAACUAGAUUAGAAAUUCCUUAAAGCUGAUUGAAACAGAAACUGGGACCAAGUUGCUUUGUCAGAGAAUCAACAAAUAAAAAUGUUAACCAAAAUAAAAUAUAACCAGGGACCAAAUCCAAAUUGGAAUUAAUAGUAAUACCCUCAGAUGUCAUUUCUUUUGUAGGUUGAUCAAGUGUAAUAUUAAGGGACAGUUGCUGACCCUCAACUCCAUCAUUGAUCUCCAUAUCUCCAUCUGAGGACGAAGAUUCAUCUGAUGAUAUAACAUCAAUCUGCUCACUCCAUGGCAGUGUCCUCUUCAUAGUACGUUCAAUUUAACCCUGGGUUGAUGUGCCGAGCACUUUUAGCAGAGGGAGUGAUGGAGACUAGAGUUGGGUUUUGGGUUACCAGAGAGAGCGAGUGGGAGACGAAGUGAUUGAAUCGGAACUUACAGGCCGCAGCUUCGCAGCGAGAGAGACGCAACGGAGAAGCUGGGGGCCUAGUGCACUAAAUAAUUGCCAGAGAUGGUGAAAGUACCCAACUUGACCCGCCCCGUCUGGAACCCGAUCAAUUUUCUCUGACUUCCUUUUGAUCUCAAUUUGUGCAGACGAAGGCAGGAUUGCCUUCUCCCUCAUCUGACAUUCCGAUGGAAAAUGCCUUGUCUGACCCCAUAUUCCUGUUAAGCGGGGAUAGGAAGAGCAAUUUCCACUUCCGACCCAUCGCGCUGCUACUCCUAAUAACUGCCCCUAAAUUUUUGUACUCGGGCUUCAUGUGGGCGUCAGAUAGACCAAAGGUAAAAGCCCAGUUCCAGAAUUGGGUAUUCUUUACAUUGCUUUCUAGGCCUAGCUACCCGAGCCAGUUUGAACUAAAACCACAUAAAUAUGAAGUUCUUGAUGGCCCAAUAACCCUUCCUCUAUUUAGAGUGAAUCUGCUACUACAAGGAACACAGAAUGCACUACCCUUCUUCCCUGCACCAUUCUCUUCGUUUCUCUGCUUUGCAAACCAGAUUCAAAGACAGACUCACCUAUUAUUGAAGAUGUGCUAUCUUGGUACACACACUCUUCUGGUGCUUGGACUCUGUAAGAGUGGGAAGCUUGAACAUGCUUGCUCUUUCUUUGAAGAAAAAUUAUUGGAGUGAUUCCCAAAGAUGGCAUGUACAUAUGUUGGUGGAGGAAAUUGAGCAAAAUGAAAAGAUUCAGAAGUUGAUGUUGCAGGCUAAAGGGUGAAAACCAAUUUAUUCUAGGCUUAAAGGAUGUUUAUUAAGAUUGGCCUAGCAAAUGAGAAGAAUAUCAGCCUGACAACGAAUCUCAAAUUCAAGGAAUACGAAAAUAAGCAAAAAUGGAACCUUUUGGAAGGCAACUGAAACUUUUCUAUGAAAAAAAACAAGUAGUAAACAACGAUCAUGCGGUGGAUGGAAGAAUUGUUUGAGUUUUCGGCCACUCAGUGCAGCAAGAAAACGAUACUCGAUUGUCGUUUGAACCUGAUUCUGCUUCUUGUGCAAACAUAACUCGAACGUUAGGUGUCCG